rnacentral:rRNA from 1 species
GACGAACGCUGGCGGCGUGCUUAACACAUGCAAGUCGAGCGGGCCUGCCUGGCUUUGGUUGGGUGGGUGAGUGGCGAACGGGUGAGUAACACGUGAGUAACCUGCCCUCUUCUCUUGGAUAACUGCUUGAAAGGGCGGCUAAUACGGGAUGUUCUGGCUGCCUCGCAUGGGGUGGUUUGGAAAGAUUCGGCCUGGUUUUGGUUGUUUUGGUGGGGGAUGGACUCGCGGCUUAUCAGCUUGUUGGUGGGGUGAUGGCCUACCAAGGCGGUGACGGGUAGCCGGCCUGAGAGGGUGGACGGUCACACUGGGACUGAGACACGGCCCAGACUCCUGCGGGAGGCAGCAGUGGGGGAUUUUGCACAAUGGGCGCAAGCCUGAUGCAGCGACGCCGCGUGAGGGAUGGAGGCCUUCGGGUUGUGAACCUCUGUCGCCGGUGAUGUAGGCUCUGCUUUGUGGGUGGGGUGACGGAGCCGGGUAUAAG